AAUAAAUACAAAUAAAAUUUAUUAUUGAAAGUUAAAAUGUAGAUGUUUAAUAUAUAAUUUAAUUUAUUAGGUUAAAUUUUAAAUUAAAAAAAUUAUUAAUAGUUAGAUUAUUUUAAGCUUGAAAAUUUUAUUAAUAAACUAGGAUUAGAUACCCUAUUAUAAAAAAUGUAAGUUGGAACAAUAGAGUAGUAAUAGUUAAAUUCUUAAAACUUAAUAAAUUUGGCGGUGUUUUAAUCUAUUCAGAGGAACUUGUUUUAUAAUUGAUAAUCCUCGUUAUAUCUUACUUAAUUUAUUUAAUUUGUAUACCAUCGUCAUAAGAAUCUCUUAAAAAAGUAAUAAUUUUCUUAAUAACUAAUUAGUUAAUAUGUCAGAUCAAGGUGCAGUUUAUAGUUAAGAAAAAAUGAGUUACAAUAAAUUUAUUUAUACGAAUUUUAGAUUUAAAAAUUUAAAUGAAGGUGGAUUUGAUAGUAAAAUAAAUUAUUAAGUUUAUUUGAUUUUAGUUCUAAAAUAUGCACAUAUCGCCCGUCGCUCUCGUUAUUUAAAAUGAG
rnacentral:rRNA from 1 species